GUGCAGAGAAUACAUACUGGUACAUACAGAGCCAACCACAGCCUCCACUGGCCAUACUCCGUUUGAAUCUGAAACUUCAGAGCAAUCCAUGGACACAACGUGGCUAAAAUGUAUUCUCAUUGGAUCUGGGGUCUUGAAUGCAGUUCGGAUGUUAUUGGUGUCAGUGCUGGGGAAGAGAGCUGCUUGCCAGAAGAAUCCUGACUCUCCUCCAACCUCUAAACCACCUGAAAGGGCAGACGGGCCAGAGUAUGAAGUGAUACAGUUGGUACCCCCACCGAUAGGACCAAGGCCAGACCGCAUAGCCUCAACUAUUUACUCCAGAGUCCAGUUUCCAAAUCCUGAACUCACAACUAGUGCUUAAUAAGUACAUAUCGUGACCUUGUCAUGUCAGAACAGAAACUGUCUUUCAAAACUAAGACCACCUCAAGGUGCAGACCAGAGGUAAGAUACUUUUUGUA